UGGGUAACCUGCCUCAAAGAGGGGAAUAGCCUCCCGAAAGGGAGAUUAAUACCGCAUAAUAUGUUUAAGUCGCAUGACUUUAACAUCAAAAGGAUUUUUCUUUUAAGAAAUUCCACUUUGAGAUGGACCCGCGGCGCAUUAGCUAGUUGGCGAGGUAACGGCUCACCAAGGCAACGAUGCGUAGCCGACCUGAGAGGGUGAUCGGCCACAUUGGAACUGAGACACGGUCCAGACUCCGUAGGGACG
rnacentral:rRNA from 1 species